rnacentral:rRNA from 1 species
GAUUAACGCUAGCGGCAGGCAUAAUACAUGCAAGUUGAACGGCAGCACAGGUAGCAAUACUGGGUGGCGAGUGGCGCACGGGUGCGUAACACGUAUGCAACCUACCCUAUACAGGCGAAUAACCUUUAGAAAUGAGGGCUAAUACGCCGUAGUAUUACAGAUGGGCAUCUAUUUGUAAUUAAAGAUUUAUCGGUAUAGGAUGGGCAUGCGUCCCAUUAGUUAGUUGGUAAGGUAACGGCUUACCAAGACGAUGAUGGGUAGGGGAUCUGAGAGGACGUACCCCCACACUGGUACUGCGACACGGACCAGACUCCUACGGGAGGCAGCAGUAAGGAAUAUUGGGCAAUGGCCGCGAGGCUGACCCAGCCAUGCCGCGUGCAGGAAGCCGGCCUUAUGGGUUGUAAACUGCUUUUAUACGGGAAUAAUAGAGUGUACGCGUACAUUUAUGCAAGUAUCGUAUGAAUAAGCAUCGGCUAACUCCGUG